rnacentral:rRNA from 1 species
UAUUAAGGUGACGAUCAGUAGVUGGUCUGANANGACDAYYAGCCACACUGGGACUGAGACACGGCCCAVACUCCUACGGGAGGCAGCAGUGGGGAAUUUUGGACAAUGGGCGAAAGCCUGAUCCAGCAAUGCCGCGUGUGUGAAGAAGGCCUUCGGGUUGUAAAGCACUUUUGUCCGGAAAGAAAUCCUUGGUUCUAAUAUAGCCGGGGGAUGACGGUACCGGAAGAAUAAGCACCGGCUAACUACGUGCCAGCAGCCGCGGUAAUACGUAGGGUGCGAGCGUUAAUCGGAAUUACUGGGCGUAAAGCGUGCGCAGGCGGUUUGCUAAGACCGAUGUGAAAUCCCCGGGCUCAACCUGGGAACUGCAUUGGUGACUGGCAAGCUAGAGUAUGGCAGAGGGGGGUAGAAUUCCACGUGUAGCAGUGAAAUGCGUAGAGAUGUGGAGGAAUACCGAUGGCGAAGGCAGCCCCCUGGGCCAAUACUGACGCUCAUGCACGAAAGCGUGGGGAGCAAACAGGAUUAGAUACCCUGGUAGUCCACGCCCUAAACGAUGUCAACUAGUUGUUGGGGAUUCAUUUCCUUAGUAACGUAGCUAACGCGUGAAGUUGACCGCCUGGGGAGUACGGUCGCAAGAUUAAAACUCAAAGGAAUUGACGGGGACCCGC